GGCAAACAAAAGACACCAUAACUCACAGGUGUUCUAUAUCGCCCGUAAAUUACCAGCAGCUAUGGAUGACAGUGAAGAGCUGACCCCCAUCUGUCUCCGCAUUGCCAUUCAGCUCUCAGAAAGUCUAAGAGCAAAGAAGUAAAAGAUGAUUUAUAGCAACCUUGUUAAGCAGUGCCCCGUGGAGUUUCAGCACACCUGAUUAUACAACUCGGAAAGUUGUUACCAAGCCAGGGAAUAUGUUUCCCUACUUCACAGCAUGUAGGCACAGCCAUGUGACCACUACCGCAGCGUGUGACAGCAGCCAUCUGUGUCGCGGGGUUGAUGCCUGCAUGCCCUCUCCUGGAUGCCUUCUCAUUCUACUGGAGACUGCAUUUCAUGUAUUCACCUGUUUCCUGCGAUGAAGCCAUGUUUCCCAAAAUUAGUCACUCAUCACUUUUCUGGAAUCCUCUAGAAACGGGGAAAGAGAGAAGAAAGACUUGGUCUUUAUCAUGGUGAUGUAUUUUUCCUUUUGUUCUAUAUAAAAACAAGGAAAACAAAACACACAUAUACACUCUACUAGUUAAUUACAGUAGGUAGCACUACAUUAGACUGAUUUCCACCGAGGAAACUACA
rnacentral:lncRNA from 1 species